CACGGGGGAGCAAGCGUUGUUCGGAAUCACUGGGCGUAAAGGGCGUGUAGGCGGUCAGGUAAGUGAGACGUGAAAUGCCCCGGCUUACCCGGGGACCUGCGUCUCAUACUGCUUGGCUUGAGUACGGGAGAGGGUGUGGGAAUUCCUGGUGUAGCGGUGAAAUGCGUAGAUAUCAGGAGGAACACCGGUGGCGAAGGCGCACACCUGGCCCGAUACUGACGCUGAGGCGCGAAAGCUAGGGGAGCAAACGGG
rnacentral:rRNA from 1 species